AUGCCUACGGGGGGCAGCAGUGAGGAAUAUUGGUCAAUGGCCGAGAGGCUGAACCAGCCAAGUCGCGUGAGGGAUGACGGCCCUACGGGUUGUAAACCUCUUUUGCCGGGGAGCAAAGAGCGGGACGCGUCCCGCCUCGAGAGUACCCGGAAAAAAAGCAUCGGCUAACUCCGUGCCAGCAGCCGCGGUAAUACGGAGGAUCCGAGCGUUAUCCGGAUUUAUUGGGUUUAAAGGGAGCGUAGAUGGGUUGUUAAGUCAGUUGUGAAAGUUUGCGGCUCAACCGUAAAAUUGCAAUUGAUACUGGC
rnacentral:rRNA from 1 species